UGGACAAUAGGUCCAACAACUUACUACAAGCACAAGGUGGUGGUGAAGAACACAUCUCAAAAGCCAAUCACAGAUCUCAAGUUAACGGUUGAAAACCUUUCAGGAUCAUUGUGGGGGCUCAGUCCAUGCCCAGAAAAGAACACCUAUGAGCUUCCUCAGUGGAUUAAAAUACUAUCACCUGGUUCAGAACUUCAUGUUUCUUUUUGUAUUAGAAAAUAAAAAAUUAACAUUUGUUGUAGGUGGCCCGAUAAAGUUCUUGCACUCGAUAAUUUCAACAUGGACAAUAGGUCCAACAACUUACUACAAGCACAAGGUGGUGGUGAAGAACACAUCUCAAAAGCCAAUCACAGAUCUCAAGUUAACGGUUGAAAACCUUUCAGGAUCAUUGUGGGGGCUCAGUCCAUGCCCAGAAAAGAACACCUAUGAGCUUCCUCAGUGGAUUAAAAUACUAUCACCUGGUUCAGAACUCAUUUUUGUAUAUGUUCAAGGAGGUGGCCAAGCCAGGGUUUCAAUUAAAAGCUACCACUAACUGAAACAUGCAUGAGGAAAACCAAUUAUUAUCCAAUUUUAAAUAGGCUCUAAUUUUUACCAAGAUAUUUUCCCUUUUCCUUUUUCAUGUUUGAACCAUUGACAUUGUAACAUGGCAACGAGAAUGCUAUUAUGAGAUCAAUGAACUUUGUGAAUUAUUAUUGGUUUAAUAUUCGUUUUUCUUUUGUUUCUCA
rnacentral:lncRNA from 1 species